CUUACCCAGAAGACUAUUUACGUUAGGUGAUUUGCAUUGGCAACACAUGCUUCAGUGGUCUGAGAGCGUUUAUAGCCCUGUGAACUUAACGCGUUACAACACAGAGUUGAUGUUUAUGACAGCAGAACCAACAACAAUCAUGGCUUCUAUCACAUUGUUCGUCUGGAUAUUUUCCUUUGUCAUUCAAGAAUCCAGAAGACAGCACACUCUAACUCAGACUCCUGUAGUGGAAACUGUUCUCGUAGGAAAGACAGUCUCUGUAAAAUGCAAAGCCAGCAGUGAUGUGUAUCCAGACUGUAACAAGUCAGAACAUGAAGCCGACGAACCAGCAGCUCUCCACAUGCGUGUGUGUUACUGAGGGGUUCCUACCCAGAACACUCAGCCCUGCU